GCCCCUGUGGCGCAAUGGACUAGUGUGUUGCACUUCUAAUUCAAAGGUUGUGGGUUCCAGUCCCACCGAGGGUG
rnacentral:tRNA from 1 species